GCUCCAAUAGCGUAUAUUUAAGUUGCUGCAGUUAAAAAGCUCGUAGUCGGUUCGGGCGGGUUGCGCCGGUCUGCCUUUGGUAUGCACUGGCGUGUCCGCUUUACUGCUGGGGACGGGCUCCUGGGCUUUACUGUCCGGGACCGGAAUCAGCGCUGUUACCUUGAAUAAAAUGGAGUGUUCAAAGCAGGCAUACGCCUUGA
rnacentral:rRNA from 1 species